GGUCCGAUGGCCUAGUGGUUAGAGCGUCAGCCUCAGAUGCGGGAGGUCGCGGGUUCGAACCUCAGCGGUGUCAUACCA